GCAGCCGCCGCGGUAAUACAGAGGGUGCGAGCGUUAAUCGGAUUUACUGGGCGUAAAGCGUGCGUAGGCGGCUUCUUAAGUCGGAUGUGAAAUCCUUGAGCUUAACUUAGGAAUUGCAUUCGAUACUGGGAAGCUAGAGUAUGGGAGAGGAUGGUAGAAUUCCAGGUGUAGCGGUGAAAUGCGUAGAGAUCUGGAGGAAUACCGAUGGCGAAGGCAGCCAUCUGGCCUAAUACUGACGCUGAGGUACGAAAGCAUGGGGAGCAAACAGGAUUAGAUACCCCUGUAGUCCCUGUCUCUUAUAC
rnacentral:rRNA from 1 species